GAUGAACGCUAGCUACAGGCUUAACACAUGCAAGUCGAGGGGAAACGGCAUCGAAAGCUUGCUUUUGAUGGGCGUCGACCGGCGUACGGGUGAGUAACGCGUAUCCAACCUGCCCAUCACUUGGGAAUAACCUUGCGAAAGUAAGACUAAUGCCCAAUGACAUCCCACGAAGGCAUCCGAAUGGGAUUAAAGAUUUAUCGGUGAUGGAUGGGGAUGCGUCUGAUUAGCUUGUUGGCGGGGUGACGGCCCACCAAGGCAACGAUCAGUAGGGGUUCUGAGAGGAAGGCCCCCCACAUUGGAACUGAGACACGGUCCAAACUCCUACGGGAGGCAGCAGUGAGGAAUAUUGGUCAAUGGGCGAGAGCCUGAACCAGCCAAGUAGCGUGCAGGAUGACGGCCCUAUGGGUUGUAAACUGCUUUUAUAAGGGAAUAAAGUGGGUCACGUGUGACUUUUUGCAUGUACCUUAUGAAUAAGGACCGGCUAAUUCCGUG
rnacentral:rRNA from 1 species